GGUUAAGCGACUAAGCGUACACGGUGGAUGCCCUGGCAGUCAGAGGCGAUGAAGGACGUGCUAAUCUGCGAUAAGCGUCGGUAAGGUGAUAUGAACCGUUAUAACCGGCGAUUUCCGAAUGGGGAAACCCAGUGUGAUUCGUCACACUAUCGUUAAGUGAAUACAUAGCUUAACGAAGCGAACCGGGGGAACUGAAACAUCUAAGUACC
rnacentral:rRNA from 1 species